rnacentral:tRNA from 1 species
AAGAAAGGUAAUUUAUAAACUUAAAAUUUCUUUUUUGCAUAAAGACUAAGGCAUAAUCCCCUUUAAA